CAAAUAGCCUAUGCUCUCCUUUCCAGCCAAAAGGUUAGAACAAUUACGGGGGAUUUAAUGCCUAAGCUGGUUUUCGCUUCCCUCAUUUAGCCCUUUGGCUUAUUUCAGAGAAUCAAUGGCAAUUUUGUUAUCUGCAGGUGCUGCAACCAAGCUAAGCUCCAAGCUUCUCAACUAUAAUGGUAGCACACAAGAAGUGUCAUCAACUGCUCGCACUAAUUUCACAGGCUUGAGCACAGAGACCAAGACACACUACAAGAGAUAUUCAUUUGUUAAUUUAGCUGUUAGGAACCAUACAAGUGUUGAAUUAAAACAGGGAAAUCAUGCUAAAUUAGCGCCAAGGAAAGGGGGUAGGGACCUAGUUUUAAGCGAGGGAAGAGAAGAUGAUGACAACUAUGGGCCUAUUUGCCCUGGUUGUGGGAUCUUUAUGCAAGAUAAAGACCCAAACCUUCCUGGGUAUUAUCAGAAAAGAAAAGUUACCAUUGAAGAAAUUGAAGUAGCAGAGGAUGAGGAAGAGGAAAUUAAAGAUGACUUUGUAGGGUUUGAGGAAGAACAGUCUGAGAAUAGAAUUGAAGGUAAAGUUGAGGAAAGUGAAGGGGAUAUGGAUAAUUUGGAAGAGGGUGAAGAGUUGGAUUGGGAUUCUGAUGAAUUUGAAGCAAUGUUAGAAAAAGAAGAUGAUGUUUUGGAUUUGGAUGGUUUCACUCCUGCAGGUGUUGGGUAUGGUAACAUCACUGAGGAGAUAAUAGACAAAGAAAGGAAGAAAAAGGAAAAAAGGAAGGUGUCAAAAGCAGAGAAGAAGAGGAUGGCAAGGGAGGCCAAAAAGGACAAGGAUGAGGUUACAGUGUGUGCUCGAUGUCACUCUUUGAGGAAUUAUGGGCAGGUUAAGAACCAAACAGCUGAAAAUUUGAUACCUGACUUUGAUUUUGAUAGAUUGAUUGCAAAUAGGUUGAUAAAAUCAAGUGGUAGUGGCAACGCUACUGUUGUUAUCAUGGUUGUUGAUUGUAUUGAUUUUGAUGGCUCAUUUCCUAGACGGGCGGCAAUGUCCUUGUUCAAUACAUUUGAAGGAGCCAAAAAUGACCCUAAAGCUAGCAAAAAGUUGCCUAAGCUCGUUCUUGCAGCUACAAAGGUUGAUCUUCUCCCAUCACAAAUUUCACCUACUAGAUUAGAUAGAUGGGUUAGGCACCGCGCUAGGGCAGGAGGGGCACCUAAGCUAAGUGGAGUUUAUUUGGUUAGUGCUCGUAAGGAUUUGGGUGUGAGGAAUUUGUUGUCAUUUGUCAAGGAAUUGGCUGGUCCUCGAGGGAAUGUAUGGGUUAUUGGGUCUCAAAAUGCAGGCAAGUCCACUCUAAUCAAUGCAUUUGCAAAGAAAGGAGGGGCCAAAAUAACAAAGCUCACAGAAGCUCCAGUUCCUGGAACAACACUUGGGAUUCUGAGAAUUGGAGGGAUUUUGUCUGCCAAGGCAAAGAUGUAUGACACUCCCGGGCUUCUGCAUCCAUAUCUAAUGUCCAUGAGAUUGAAUAGAGAUGAGCAAAAAAUGGUUGAAAUAAGGAAGGAGCUACAACCUCGAACGUACAGGAUGAAGGUUGGACAGGCUGUACAUGUUGGUGGCUUGCUGCGACUAGACCUUAAUCAAGCUUCUGUAGAAACAAUUUAUGUCACCGUUUGGGCAUCACCAAGUGUUUCUCUGCACUUGGGGAAGAUAGAAAAUGCUGAUGAUUUCUGGGGAAACCAUGUUGGGGUUCGAUUACAGCCUCCAGUGGGCAAAGAAAGAGCUACUGAGUUGGGCAAAUGGGAAGGGAGAGAAAUCAAAGUGGCUGGAGCGAGCUGGGAUGUGAAUAGCAUUGAUAUUACAGUAGCUGGCUUAGGUUGGUUUUCUUUGGGUCUCAAAGGUGAAGCAACUGCAACACUGUGGACAUAUGAUGGUAUUGAGAUCACUUUGAGAGAACCUUUGGUUCUUGACCGAGCACAAUUCCUUGAGAGACCUGGAUUCUGGCUACCAAAGGCUAUAUCUGAUGCUAUUGGCAACCAAUCUAAACUUGAAUCCCAAAAAAGGAAAAUGCUUCAAGAGAAGAGUGUGGAAUCUAUUUCAGAGUUGUCUGCUUGAUGGGAAAAGAAGAGGGGUUAGAUAUCUGCUUGAAAGAGAAAGGAGAGGAUGAGUCUUAAUUGUUUCUCUUUGAAAGUGCCCUUGCUUGAAGAGGAAAGAGAUCAUUCUCUCUCGUUUCCUUUAUGCAACUUGGUUGAGCUCAAAGCUGUUAAUAACAGCUUACAUAAAAUUCAUAGGUUCAGAUAUUAUCUGAAGGACAAGACACUGUUAGCUCAGUUCCAAUUUGAGUAAUUAUAGAGCAUCUGACGUUUGUUUCAUGGGACUAAUUCUGCAAAGAAUAUGAAUUAUAGGUAGUUUAUUUGAACUUGGUAGAAGAAAUUUCAGGGGAGGCUGGGGGUGUGAAACUUGCCAAUUGGAUCACGUGUUUAGUUUACAGUGAGUUGAUUUUGCCUGUCAUGCCAGUUAUCAUUAGUCAGGUAUUGGCAUCUAACCAUCUUUGUCAAGUUAAGCCGCUUUCCAAUUCCAGUUGCAGGUUUGACUACCAAAUGGGUAAAAUGAUAGCUAUUACUACUUGCAACACCAGUUUUCUCCAUCCCCUUCUUUAAUAUCCGAAAUUGAUCUGGGAUUUAAAGAAUUUGAUGCGUUUUCUUUAGUGUAACUAUAAGCCAAUCAUAGAAGUUGAUGAUGCUUAACUGGUCAGUACUUACACCUCCCAGAAUUCCUUCGUGUGAAUUCUGGUAAUUCGUCUCUCUUUUUUUUUUUUUUUUUUUUUUUUUUUUUCCUUUUUGGACGAGUAGUUCAUCUCUAUUUUUAAAGUAAGGAACAGUAAGGUAAUGGAAGGUGGCAAAAUGUUCAAUUUUGCCUUUGUAUUUUUUGGGAAUGUUCAAUUUAUCUCAUUUUUAA